UACGUAGGGUGCAAGCGUUGUCCGGAAUUAUUGGGCGUAAAGAGCUCGUAGGCGGUCUGUCGCGUCGGACGUGAAAAUCCAGGGCUCAACCCUGGACCUGCGUUCGAUACGGGCAGACUAGAGUUCGGUAGGGGAGACUGGAAUUCCUGGUGUAGCGGUGAAAUGCGCAGAUAUCAGGAGGAACACCAAUUGCGAAGGCAGCUCGCUGGGACGUUACUGACGCUGAGACGCGAAAGCGUGGGGAGCAAACAGG
rnacentral:rRNA from 1 species